CAAUGAUGUCACUUCCACAUCAUUUCCGUCCUUUACCACUUCCUCUGAAAAAUCGUUUACCCUAUCUUCCGUUACCGUCACCAACGGGCAGCUGUCCAUCGAUGUUUCGUCGAAACUGCUGCUGCAAGGGGAAGCGCAAGAUACGCCUUAUUCAAAAUGUAAUAGAGACGCCGAUAGCAAGAAAUGGAACAAUAUUAUUUAAUACGAAUGCGACGAGUAUGUGUGUUGGGUAGAAUCAAUCGGUUCCUUGUUUCCGAAUUCUUUGGAGUCCGAGCUGAUUGCCCGCAGGCCUCUGCCCGUCAACCAAAACGCUUCGCUUUCUCAAAUCAGGUGGAUAAACGGAGAAUGGAUUUGAUCACCGCCGAAAGGUUCCGGCAUUACGACGAGAAACGCGGCAAAAGUACCAUGGGAGAAUAUUGAGUUGCAAACAAAAUAUAAUUUUAUCGUCUAUUUAAGUAAACGAUCGUCAUACGUUUGUUAAGAACACACAGGUGUAAGCAGAAUACUCAUUUGUGUAAAUAGGUGCAUCGAUUCUAAGGAGUACACAAAUAUAUAUUAGAAUGUUUCUUUUUUUAAGUCGAAUAAAUAAAACGAAAAGACCUUUUCCUCCUAGAAACGAAAGAAGAAACGGAACGACAAUCUCCAGGAACGACGUGGAAACCUCUAGCUUCGGAAAUGAGCUUUCGAAUACACCGACAACUAAUAGCUAAUGCGAUGUAUUGAAAGGAAAAACUGAGAUGCAAUGUUGCAAUUAAUGGAUAAUAUAGAAAUUUAUUAUAUGAUACAAAACAUCAUGUAUACUCAUUAAUUAGGAUACAGAGUAAAAGUUCUAAAAGCACAUAAUAUCUAUUAUGUUUUAACGAUAUUAUGUAAUGUAAGAAUAAUAUUAAAAAUACGGGCGAUGCGAUGGAAGCCUUUCGAAUAAACAUCCAUCGAGCUGAA